rnacentral:tRNA from 1 species
UGUACAGGGAUGGGAAUCGAACCCACAGUGUUCCGCUUACCGGGCAGAUGCCAUGUUCACUAGGCUACCCUGGAC